rnacentral:lncRNA from 1 species
CAAGAACUCAAGAAGCUGGCAAGCAAUUGUCAAUCAUCACACUGUACUCAGCUGAAUGGUCUUUCUGAGACUACCUAAGAACCAGCACACACAAUCAUGAUUGAAGUCUAAAGAUUGAAAGACUGGCAGAGAUAUAUAUAUGCAGCUUCAUAAAUUAAAGGAUUGGAUCCAUCAGUUGUUGCUUUUAAUGCAAAUUCUUUUCUCAAGGACAUUCCAGAUACUUGUUGGAUUCACGUUAAUUAUUCAAAAAUGACUUUAAAAAAAAAAUAGUUCCAUAUUUAAGGUUACAUUCUGUCGUUGGCUCUUAAGCUAGAGUAUAACUACUCCUGAUUAAGUACAAUCUAAGAUGCUAGAUUUCCUGAUUCAUAACUGUUGGUUAAUAUUUUCAUGAUUAAAUACUCCGUAAUCUCAAGGUAUCAAAAAAGAUAAGAUCCAGAGGACAACUAACUAAAUAUAUGCAGAAAACCAAAAUCAUUAAUUCCACAAUAUUUGCAAGCAAUCCAUAGCCAUGCAAUUAUGAUGAAAGUUGACAAAUGAGAACAUGUAAAUAGACAAAAGGAUCUCUACUAAUGGAUGCCAACAUGACAUUUAUUACUGCUAUAUUUUUAGGAUCAGAUCUUCUGAUCUAGAACCUCAGUGAGUGCCAAGUCAUGAUAAUCCAUCAACUCUGUUGCUGGAGUGAAAAUAAUCAAGACUCUCAUAAGUUCAUAUGGCUAAUUGGCACGCAUGUUCUUAUAUAAGGUUUCUUUUGGCCAUCUUUUGGUACCAAUCCUUUGAGAGAGCAAAGCAUUCUAUCAAAUAAAAGACAAACUUAUGUUCCUUGACUUUCUUCUUUCAGAGGGGAAGGGGGGGCAUCUCUAGCCGCCUGCAAAGAAAAUAUCCUUUUUCACAAAUUUGUCCUUUCCCUCCCUUUCCUAUGCAUCCUGAUAAUAGGACAAUGUAAAUUAUUUGUGAACCAGGCAGCAUUAACUCUUUUACCUUCUUGUUUCCCUUGAGAUGUUAGCUAACUCAAAGGCAUGGUUCAUAUAUAAGUAAAUUUACCAAUUAUGAUGGUUCGAAUACAACCUUUUCCUCUCAACGCAUCUAAAUAACAAAGAGAGUGUCCAAAAGUAUAAUAAGGGAUUUGAGAUCAAGUUAUAUUUAUCAUUUAAUAUGCCUUUUUGUUUACUUCCAUGAUCUUUUCAAUUAAAAGGCUCCAAAAAACUGAGUGACAUCUCAAGUUUAUCGAUUGUGAAUUCUUUGUAACGAAUAAGGGAACCUUGCAAUCUCGAACCCGAUCAGCAUAACCAUUGCACAACAACAAGAAAGAAAGAAUAUUAUUAGAAACACUAAUUCCAAAAAAGAAUAUUAAUAGAAAGACGAAAUAUGAUUUAAACUGUCAUCAUCACUAAGAAUAUAGGACGACAGCAGCGUCGAAUCAAUAGAACGCAAAUAGAUGAAAGAUCUCAGAAUACUUACAACUACAACAAGUGGAGAGAUAAAAGAAUAUCGACACUAGCACGAACUAAUUCCUAUGAAAACCAUUACUUUUUGAAGCUCUACCAUUGCGAUUGCAUGCAUUAUGAGUGGCAGAGGACUGGAAACUUUCCUGUCUUCUCCUUCUCUGGAAAUCCUGGAGGGUGACGGCGCCUGGGGCUACAGAGAGGGAUCAUUUCGUUCUAUCUGAACCGUUGAAAUAAUUGGUUAUUCUCGGUCUAGGACCGAGAUAUUGUUAAAUCGCCAGAAGACGAACACUGUGCUGUCUUGCCCUUGAGCCCAACCAAACGCGUUUGGUCUCCAUUUUUAUAAUUUUUGACCACA